ACACACACACAGGCCUUUCUUAAUGGGAUGCCAUACAAGAGCUGCAUCACUAAAUCUCUCUGGAAAAUGUAAAAAUCCAAAAAGCAAAACAAAAUCUUGGCGCCCCCUAGUGGACUUCUGAUUGACAGAGAGGCGGACUCACAGCCUCGUCCAGGACAAACUCCUUGGCCGGCGUGACAGGCGAGGUGACUUUCAGCUUCAUGAAGUCCUUGAAGCUGCUCGACCUCUGCAGGGUUUUGGGACUCGCCAGCGGCGCGACCGACCUGCGGCAGCGGUCGACGUAGGCGGAGGCGCUCAGCUCCGUCUCCUUCCCGUCCGGCGCCGCCGUCUCCAACCGCACGAGAAGCUGCAUGACCGCCGCUGCGUCUCUCACCUGCCGCACAGACGCACCGUCGCCGUGCAAAAAAAAAAAAAAAAAAUGUCCGAAUAAUAAUAAGAAGAAGAAUGUAUUCGACUUCGUAUGUCACGUAUUAUUCGGAUAAAAUCAUUGCAUGCAGUCCUUCUACUACUACCUACUCGUGUUACUACUGUGACAAAUAAUCAUGGCAGUCAUAAAUUGUUUAUUUGAAAUUAUAUACCGUAUAACUGCAAAUGUUUUUGUUCAAAUCAAAUACAUAAGUGCACAAAUCAUCGUCAUCAUCUCAGCAACAACAAGAGUGCGACUAAUGCUAAAACAUCGGGAAAAGUCAUGUUUUAUUCAAAUAGAAGAUAUAUUAACUUAAAACAUUAUGAGGAAAUUCAAUGCAUGAUGGCAUAUGUCAUAGGUGUCAAGCUCAAGGCCCGCGGGCCAGAUGCGGCCCGCCACACCAUUUUCUGUGGCCCGCGAAAGCAAAUCAUGCUCGUCAACUUCCGCAAUUUGUGCUAAAAUCGGUACCCAAAUUCCAAAUUGUCACAAUAAUCAACAAUAAUGUUGAGCAUUUGCAUUCUUCUGUUACCAAACCCUUCUUCUUCAGUCAAUGCAUGAACAAACUAUUAUCCGAGUCUUCUGAUUUCAAAACGAGUUAUCGCUCAAUUCGUUGCGUAAUGGUAAUAAUAUGAUUCGGCCCUCGGAGGGAAAUCAGGACUACGAUGCGGCCCGAGACAGAAAUGAGUUUGACACCCCUGGCGUACGUAGUCGAGAUACUGCUACUACUCCUAAU